CAUAUACUACCUUUGUUUCAAAAUUCUUGUCUUAAAUUUGUUUAGAAAUGGAUGUAUCAAAAUACUAAAACGUGACNNGAUACAUUCAUAUCUAGACAAAUCUAAGAUAAGAAUUUCGAGACGGAGAGAGUAUGAG
rfam:Hordeum vulgare subsp. vulgare, WGS project CAJW01000000 data, contig: morex_contig_59684